CUUUUAGAUUCUAAUGGCUUGGCAACAGCGUGAUUUGUGGAGGCCCUGGACCAGGAGAAACCUGACCUGGAGGAAGGACAGGGGCUGCCAGGGCUGCCCACUGCCGAGUACCUGGAGGAGCUGGAGGAACCUGAGGCGGAGGGGGAGCUGGAGCUGCCAGCAGCAGAAUACCCAGACGAGCUGGAAUGACCGGAGGGACUCGCACAAGGGACUGAGUUGGAAGGAGCCCAGGGACAGAACUGCACAGUGUGAUUGAGCUCCAUGAUUCUAUCAAUAUGGCAUGUUCUCCAAUCCUUUCAUCACUCUUGUGGCUCUUCUCUGAUCCCUCUCCAAUUGUGGGCACCGGACCUGGACACAGGAUUCCAGCAGCGGUCGCACCAGUGCCAAAUACAGAGGGAAAAUAACCUCUCUAACAACUGGAGAUUGCCCGGUUUGUACAUCCCAGGAUGGCAUUAGUCCUUUUGGCCCCAG